rnacentral:rRNA from 1 species
GUGCGUAAUGCAUGGGAAUCUGCCUANUAGUGGGGAAUAACCCGGCGAAAGCCAGGCUAAUGCCGCAUACGACCUACGGGUGAAAGCGGGGGAUCGCAAGACCUCGCGCUAUUAGAUGAGCCCAUGUCGGAUUAGCUAGUUGGUAGGGUAACGGCCUACCAAGGCGACGAUCCGUANCUGGUCUGAGAGGACGGCCAGCCACACUGGGACUGAGACACGGCCCAGACUCCUACGGGAGGCAGCAGUGGGGAAUUUUGGACAAUGGGGGCAACCCUGAUCCAGCGACGCCGCGUGUGUGAAGAAGGCCUGCGGGUUGUAAAGCACUUUCGUUGGGAACGAAAUAUGCCGACCUAAUACGUCGGUAGGCUGACGUUACCCAAAUAAGAAGCACCGGCUAACCCUGUGCCAGCAGCCGCGGUAAUACAGA